GACGAACGCUGGCGGCGUGCUUAACACAUGCCAGUCGAACGGAAAGGCCCUGCUUUUGUGGGGUGCUCGAGUGGCGAACGGGUGAGUAACACGUGAGUAACCUGCCCUUGACUUUGGGAUAACUUCAGGAAACUGGGGCUAAUACCGGAUAGGAGCUCCUGCUGCAUGGUCGGGGUUGGAAAGUUUCGGCGGUUGGGGAUGGACUCGCGGCUUAUCAGCUUGUUGGUGGGGUAGUGGCUUACCAAGGCUUUGACGGGUAGCCGGCCUGAGAGGGUGACCGGCCACAUUGGGACUGAGAUACGGCCCAGACUCCUACGGGAGGCAGCAGUGGGGAAUAUUGCACAAUGGGCGGAAGCCUGAUGCAGCAGCGCCGCGUGCGGGAUGACGGCCUUCGGGUUGGAAACCGCUUUCGCCUGUGACGAAGCGUGAGUGACGGUAAUGGGUAAAGAAGCACCGGCUAACUACGUG
rnacentral:rRNA from 1 species